CAAGUGCAUAUUGUGAUGUGGUUUGCGAAUGCAAAAAUAUUUCUACUCCAGAAAUUCAUCACCAGUGUGUUGAAUCUUGUAGAGAUUUCCCAUUAGGAAAAGAAAUUUUGAUUAGGGCGACUUCUCCCACAUGCUUCUGAAGGAUGCUAUUCUAUCUGCUCUGGUGUGCAAUGUGGCAGAACACUUAUGUGUGUAGCCAGACUAAGGUGGAAGAAAUCUGAUAUGCAGUGUGAUCUCACCACCUCCCAGAGUCUGAGAGCUCUUGCACAGAAUGUCAGAAGGAAUGGGCUCCCCUCUCCAGGGUAGCCCAGGAAAGAUGUAUGGCCAUAAAAACACAUCAGACCAAAAGGACUGAAUACACAGCUUUUAUUUUAACAGCUGAGAUAAGGCAGAAGUUUAUUUUAAACAUUUUUCUUUUUGCAUUUUCCAAAAUUAUUGGCAGGCAUAAGCAGGUAAGUCACAUGAUUUUUUGGCAAAGGCCACCUCCAGCCUGGCAUGUCUCUUGUCAGCAUCCACAGCCACUUUGACAGAUCCACAUCACUUCUGUGCCUCCCCAGCUGCCUACCGAGUAAAAAGCUCACCACGUUUUUGGAAACCACAGUGGGUUUUAGGUAUUCAUCUGUCUUCUUCCUGAUGCUUGGUGUGGUGCUGCUGGGCUUAAGUUCAGAGUCUCCUGCAUCCAUGACUGGUUGACACCACAGAUGGAUUCAGGAAGAGAGCACAACUGAAAAAGCCUGAAAAAGAAGAUGAACCUCACUUAAUCCAGUGUAUCCAGGCCACUCUUCCCCCUGCCACCUCCCCAACAUAAUCACAUCUGUUUCCAGCAUUGAUAUAAGAGGUUGCUUUUGCACAUCAUUGGACUUGAAAUGCCAACUUUAUCAUUUCUUUCAUUCUGUUAUUUGCAUGAGUCUGUGUUGAGAAUCUCUGUUCUGUUCCAUUAAUGUAUUUUCCACUCCUAUUUUAAUUGCUAAAUCGAUAGUUUAGAUUUUCCUACGUUGGAGGGCAAUGUCACUAUCAUGGCUACUCUUACAUAUGUUCUCCUCUGUUUUAUUGAAUAAUCAGCUCAUUUUACUUCAUGGCAAAAUCCUGUUAAGGUUCAUGCCUGAAUUCAG
rnacentral:lncRNA from 1 species